CACCAUCGCCUGCUGUGGGCAGGGGGUGCCGCCCAGGGGUGUUUGGCAAGUCAGUGGCAGUGCAAGUCCCUGACUUGGGGUCGUCCACCUGGCACAGCCACUGUCACCGCCACUGUCACCAUGCACAGCGUCCCCUCACUCCCCAUACUCAAGGGGGGGAGGCUCCCAGGCAGAGGGUGGGCUGCACAGAGGACUCCUGGGACUCUACACACAGAGUUUAUAGGACUCUCCUGUGCCCAGGAGUCCUGGUCCCUAGGUGUCCUUGGGCCCACCCACCAGCCUCUCCAGGUCCCUGAGCUGCAGCCUGGCCUGGAACGCCGGGGCCAGCAGUGCUCAGCACCCGUCAGACAGUCCUGACUGGCGGGGACAUCCCAGGCCCUGCCACUGUCACUGCCGAGGCCAAGAGAGGCUCCCCAGACGCUGUGGGUCUGGGCUGAGAGGACACACAGCAGUGAACACCCAAGGCAGGGCCACCUGGAGGCCAAGGCCAAGGCCGAGGGUAUCGACGACCACGCUGGGUUGGGGGCGGUGUGUGCCGUGCGUGCUUGUCACCGCCUCGCCAGCAGCGGCCCUGGGUCUCCCCACCGUGACGCAUCUGCAGCUGAGGGCAGCGUGCUCGGGGCGGUGCGGGGGCUCUGCCCAGGCGUCCGCCCCAGUGCCCUGAACACCCAGGAGGCCGCCCGGAGGUCCACGUGCAGGAGCAUGUGAACCAGGAGGCAGAGGGGUGUGGGGAGCGUGUCCUGAGCGCCCUGGGGCGGCAGAGCCGGCCGAUCUGCCAGCCGGGGGCCCGGUCCCCUCCCAGGAAGGAACGAGCAGGCGGCUGCGGGGACGCACGGCCACUCGGCGUGUCCGCGGACGCCAGAGGCGAUUUUGGCGACGAGCAGUAAGGAAACCUGAAGUAUUUCUCUCCCAGACCCUCCCAGCUUAUUAAAAGAACUUAUAGACAUGAAAAUACAUUAAAGUGGGCAAAGCGGAGCGGGUGAAAGAGAUUAACAACCUUGGCUGAAUAGAGCCUAUUGAUGAAGCGGGCCUGUGCGCGGCUGCCGGCUCUGAAACGAGCCCGGAGCCGCUGAAAAGAAGGUCAGGCCUGGCCAGAAUUUCGGGGGGAAGUGGAAAUUGAUAUGUAAAGAGAAGAAGAGCCUGCCUGCCCCUCUCUCCGCUUUUCCUGACUGGGGAGGCUCACUGGGGAAGAGGAAACCCGUUCUGCGUCCCGUCCCCCAGUUUGAGCGCCCAGAUGCAAGGCUCCGCUCUCGAUGCUGCAGAGACCAGGGGCACAGGGGCAGUGAACGCCUAUUGUCUGGGGUCUGGGGGGCGCCGGGCCCUCCCGGCCUGUGAAGGGGGGGGGACCCCAACCCGGCCAGCUGUGACAAGCGCCUGACAGGUGUGGAUGCCUUCCGAGGUCUUUUUAGGAAGUGGGGCGUCGGGGAGGACGAAUGGAAGCCGGCCGGCCGGCCGCGUGCGGAUGGGCUCGGGAGAAAGUUAGCCGUCAGUCAAGUUUUUCUCUCUUAAUGAAUAGAGACUGCUGAAGUAAGGGUUAGGUAAUUGAGUUUAUAAUUAAUUAGCCAUAACCCUCAUCAGAUAAAGCAGUUGUGAGGAGGUUUUUUCUAUCUCCUUUCUCUCCCCAGGGCCUGCCCUUCUUUGUCCUUGCGCUGACAGCCAGCACUUAUCUCGGGCCGCUGGAGCCCCAGCCGGCAGCCCGCCCCGGCCGGGCCGAGGGCUGGUCAGCCGGGCCGCUUUGUGCAGCGAGGCCAGCAAUCAGCCCAGCUGUCGGGGCCGUGAUGAAUUAGCGGUGGGCGUAGCACAGAGGUGGACCCCCGAUCGCCCGAUAGCGCUCAGGCGGCCGCUCGGUGUCCCCGCUUUGACACCUUCCGACAAAGAGGUUACGGCAGCUAGAGGUGGGGGCGCCGCGCUGCUCCGGAAAGUUGGGCCACUUACAAAAGACCCCUUGAUUUCCAGAGCUGGGCGGUCCGCUCCACAAAGCAGGGAAUCGGUGCGCGUGGACCCGCUUUCCUCGAGGGCCCCUCUUCUCCUUCCUUCUCUCUCCCCCGCUGGUCAGCGUUUCGUGUGUUCAGAGGACAAGUGAUACGUGGUACACGUGCAGGGCAUUGAAAUCAAAGACUGCGUGAAGGGGUCUGUCUCAGCUUCAGUUUGCAGGCUGUACGGGGGGUCACCUCCCCCCUUUUCUGUUUAACGAUGAGAAAUCUUGUGGUGGAGGCACGUUAAGGCAGGAAUUUUUUUAAGGAACAAGGCGUGACGUUCUCUUCCUGCUUCCGAUACUGAAUUCGAAAAAUCCCGGACGUGGGAGGUCAACGGCCUUGUGACUUCGGCUGUUUCUCUGAUUGACCCCCGGGCAGGCACAGAUAAAGCCCUCCGUACCCCAGGGCAGGCGGAGAGGGAAGAUGGGGUCUUUCUUUCCCUCUGCAGUCGUCCGUCUCAGCUGGUCCAGGAGACGAUUUUGUGUGUCUUUGUUAGCAAGGCCAGGCAUCGCUUCCCAGGACCCUCUGGUAGUUAUCUGGGACUCAAAAGCCAGAAGGUUUUACCAAGACCGUAAGACGGAAGGACGGUUUUGAAUGUUAAUGAAAAUAUGAGCAGAGCGAAUAUAUUACUCAGUCUCAUUGAGGGAGCCCAGUAUGAUAAGUGCAUUUACAAGUGCGGAAAUUUGUACAACAAACGAGUUCACUUUUGUGGGGAGUACCGCUGAGCAGGCCACGCGUGGGCUGAUGUGAUAGGAGAGAGGAUGGUGGGUAAUUUGUCUGGGGUUCGGUUGGAGAUAAAUGUCAGCUACUCUCAGAAUGAAUCUGGGAAAUAACGUGAUUGGCAAAAAUCCCUAGUAACUGUGGUCGCCACCUUCCAGCAUAGAAAUGCGUGAUGCGGAGGUCCCGUCGUGGCGCAGUGGUUAACGAAUCCCACCAGGAACCAUGAGGUUGCGGGUUCGGUCCCUGCCCUUGCUCAGUGGGUUAACGAUCCGGCGUUGCCAUGAGCUGCGGUGUAGGUCGCAGACGCGGCUCGGAUCCCGCGUUGCUGUGGCUGUGGUGUAGGCUGGUGGCUACAGCUCCGAUUCGACCCCUAGCCUGGGAACCUCCAUAUGCCGCGGGAGCGGCCCAAAGAAAUAGCAAAAAGACAAAAAAAAAAAA
ensembl:lncRNA